CAGCCAUCAGCUCAUUUCACUGCAUUGAGGUGGCAUAUCCUCUCGCACUAAGGCAUCCAUGUAUUCCCUUGUUGGCGGUCACUGAUGACAGAUGAAUAUUCAAAGACGUUUGUGUUGGGUCACCCAGUAAUGCUCAUGAUGCUGCUGUAUUCACCACAUCACAUUUGCACAGGCUGGAUGGCAAACUGGCAUUCCUUUUGAUCCAUGCUGCUGCUGCUGCUGAAUAUUUAUGGUAUCAGUUAGGAUUGAUGAACUCACAAAUAACGAGUGUUGUGCGAAGGUCUGUACAUAAAUCAUAAAACUGAUUUCAUUAAAAACAGAAAAAUAAAUGGAUACAAAAAACACUGCUUGUGGAGAAUAAUCUACUGCAUUAAACCUCAAGAAAAAUAUUUUUUGCUUACAGAUAUAUGCAAAAAAUUAUCCAGGCCCAUGGAAUACCACAAUUAUAAUUUUUUUUUCUUCACCUGUCAUUUUGGCUGCAUCAUAAAAUUUAUAUACUCCUACAGCAGUGUGAAUUGCCAUAUAAAAAGAUUAUGCUUAGACUAGCACAAUAUUAGGAUGGUAUUUGCAUAAAUAAAGUCUUGAAUAUCAUUGAAAUGAUAUUACUGGAGUACAGAACUGUGUACUUAGAUGAAGUAAUCUGAGGUGUGCCAUGUGUUGUGGACUAAUGCAACAACAUGUAUUCCAUUUAUAACCUAAGAGGAAACUGCAGUUUUACGGCAGUGUACACUUAUUAACAGCAUUCAUGUACAGAUAAACUGUACAGAACAGGCUUAAUUUAUUUUACAGUGCAAGGAUUAACUAUAAAAAAAUAAAUAAGCUGUUCAAUGUUGCAUACUAACAUGACAGAGAACAUUGUCUAUUCGGCGGACAUGUUGUAGAGUAUGAUGGCAACUGGUAAUAAUAACCCUGCAGUAGCACUCCCUGGAGUAGAAUGGGAAUAUCAGUCUUUAAAAGAAAACACUCUGCAGGAUGACCAAGGUGUCAUGCUCAAGGCGAAAUACACUUUUCAUGAUAGCUAGUAGCUCAGCCAACAACCCCCUCUCUGUUCCUGACUCGAGACAAUUCAGGCAAGUAAGAACCGAGUAAGCCCUUCCUGAUGAUUUUGUUCUCAAGCCACCCCAAUAUAAAACUGUGGUAGACAAAGGAAUGUUCCACCCACACUAAAGGAUGAGAGCUGUCACUGGUAUAGUAGUAAGUAAGUAAGCAUAGUAGGCCUUUUCUGUAUAACCUUUCUUUGUGUACAGCCCAAACAAGAUUUCUGGCCCAGCUCAGACAUGGCACCUACAUAGCUAUACCACCUAAUGUCUAUUCCCAGUAAGGAAAUUGCAGUGGAGUAAGCCUUGCUCUUUAUAAAGUACACCACCAUCUCCUUAGUUCUAGAGAAGGCAGUCAUUAUGCAGUUAAAUGACCACCUAAAUAAACAUGCUAUUCUUGAUAAAUUUC